rnacentral:rRNA from 1 species
AUUGAACGCUGGCGGCAUGCCUUACACAUGCAAGUCGAACGGUAACAGGUCUUCGGAUGCUGACGAGUGGCGAACGGGUGAGUAAUACAUCGGAACGUGCCUAGUAGUGGGGGAUAACUACUCGAAAGAGUGGCUAAUACCGCAUGAGAUCUACGGAUGAAAGCAGGGGAUCGACAGACCUUGUUCUUCUAGAGCGGCCGACGGCAGAUUAGGUAGUUGGUGGGAUAAAAUCGUACCAAGCCGACGAUCGGUAGCUGGUCUGAGAGGAGGAUCAGCAACACUGGGACGAAGACACGGCCCAGAGUCCUACGGGAGGCAGCAGUGGGGAAUUUUGGACAAUGGGCGCAAGCCUGAUCCAGCAAUGCCGCGUGCAGGAUGAAGGCCUUCGGGUUGUAAACUGCUUUUGUACGGAACGAAAAGCCCCGGGUUAAUACCCUGGGGUCAUGACGGUACCGUAAGAAUAAGCACCGGCUAACUACGUGCCAGCAGCCGCCGUAA